CAUGGGCGAAGCCUGACGGAGCAAUACCGCGUGAGGGAGGAAGGCUCUUGAGUUGUAAACCUCUUUUCUUAGGGAAGAAGCUCUGACGGUACCUAAGGAAUAAGCAUCGGCUAACUCCGUGCCAGCAGCCGCGGUAAUACGGAGGAUGCAAGCGUUAUCCGGAAUCAUUGGGCGUAAAGCGUCCGUAGGUGGCAGUUCAAGUCUGCUGUUAAAGGCUGGGGCUUAACCCCAGACAGGCAGUGGAAACUGAACAGCUAGAGUGUGGUAGGGGUAGAGGGAAUUCCCGGUGUAGCGGUGAAAUGCGUAGAUAUCGGGAAGAACACCGGUGGCGAAAGCGCUCUGCUGGACCACAACUGACACUGAGGGACGAAAGCUAGGGGAGCGAAUGGGAUUAGAUACCCCAGUAGUC
rnacentral:rRNA from 1 species